CGCCCGAUAAAAGCGCCUGAACUAGGGAGACCUAGUUGACGAGGACGGAGGUUAUCGAUCUAUCGGCGGAUGCCUCCGGGGGGGCGGGAAAACUCCCUGAAUCGGGAACACAAAACCGCUGGGCGACCGGUGGGACAAAAGCUCCCGUUUUUCCCGA
rnacentral:ncRNA from 2 species